AACAGGAACCUACGACUCGGUGGAAUCAGAGAUCCACUACACAGCAUAAAACUCUCCUUUUCUGUUGCUUGCAAGCUUCAAAGUCAGGCUGACUUCAAAGACAUAAUUGGAUCUGAAGAAGCAUCUGACCAGGAGCCAGCUUCACAGAGAAAAUAAAGGUGACUGGCUUGUGCCGUAAUCUCCUUCCCUGAGGUUCCUCCUGCAGUUCUGCCAGGGAUGACUGCUGCACAAAAAACGUGUCAGAUACUAAACUCUGAAGGCAAGAUUAAUGACGGAGGUCAGAAGUCACAUCAUGCUGAGUGCAGUCUGGGAAGUCCAUUCUGCAGCAGCAGGAAUUCCCCUACCUUGGAAGCAGCUGAAGCUAAGGUCAAAGAAAAAUGUAAAUUAGAUAUUCUUCAAACAAGUGGCAGAAGAGUCAUGUUUGCAAGCCCUAGACCUCAUGGUGGACUCGAGCUACCAUGAUAUCUUCUGAAAAGGCCAUGCAGCAGGGCAGUCCAGCAGGCUUCUGGAAGACACCUAGUCACUGAAAAGAGGGAUAAUACCACAUGGCAUAACUAACUGCUCACUUUAUGCAGACAGCUAGUGAAAUUCAUAUGUAAGCCUUUGAUUGAGAGCUGUUUAACAGUGUAAAAUGUGUAAAUACUACAUUCUCACUUCACAAUUGAUGAGUGAGCAGAAAAAUAAACGUCUUCAUGGUAAUUUGUUUGUCAUACAGGUAUGACUGUUCACCAUAUGAAAUGAAAUGUUUUAUAAGCUUCUGACUGUUUGGGGUUAUUUUGUUUGUUUGUUUUCAAUGUUUGUUAUACUUCAGAAUUGAAUAAAUCUGAAAGCAUCUUAUGCAGGCAAAAUAUAAUUGCUAAAGAUGGAGCUAGGACUAAGUUGUCUAUCGUCUGUCACCUACCAAUUGGAGAGGGGUCUUAGAUGGCUUUUGUCAGACCCUGAGAUCAUUCAAGUUAAGGUACAGUUAGGUGUGUUCAAUGGCACUAAAACUGUCCAUGAGGCAAUGCAUUUCAGCCUUGUGUACUGUUAGUUCUCCAAAAUAUUUGUAGACAGAAUUUCCUAGAAAUGAAUGCUGCUGUGUGUUUGUUAAUGUGUAUGAACCCAAAGGCCCCAAAGACUGUUUGGCAACUAAAAAACCUGAGGAAGAAAGGACAAAAGCAAGACUUGUCCUCCUAAUAAAUCUUUUCUUGUGAGUUGUGAA